rnacentral:rRNA from 1 species
UUUCUAAGGUUGACCUCGGAUCAGGUAGGGAUACCCGCUGAACUUAAGCAUA